UACGUAGGGUGCGAGCGUUAAUCGGAAUUACUGGGCGUAAAGCGUGCGCAGGCGGUCCGCUAAGACCGAUGUGAAAUCCCCGGGCUUAACCUGGGAACUGCAUUGGUGACUGGCGGGCUGGAGUAUGGCAGAGGGGGUAGAAUUCCACGUGUAGCAGUGAAAUGCGUAGAGAUGUGGAGGAAUACCGAUGGCGAAGGCAGCC
rnacentral:rRNA from 1 species